rnacentral:tRNA from 1 species
UAAUUAAUGAACUUGUAUAAGUAUAUGUUUUGAAAGCAUAAGAAAGAGAUUAAACUCUCUAUUAAUU